ACUCCUUCUAAAGCUAAUAUCACCACGAGACCGAUAGCGAACAAGUACCGUGAGGGAAAGUUGAAAAGCACUCUGAAUAGAGAGUCAAAAAGUACGUGAAACUGCCUAGGGCUCAAACCCGUUGAACUCGAUUAUCCGGGCGGGGACAUUCACCUGCGGCUUCGCCGCCGCAGGGCACUUGUCCCCGUCGUGCUCCCCGUGGGCCACCAGAAGGACAUUGCGAUCCAUUACGAAACAGCUUUGGCGUCGCGAGACGCAAGGUCGCCCGACACGUUGCCCCUUGGUGCCGGUUGCUUGCCCCACAGUAGCGACGCUCAGUUCCGAAGGCCUGUGCCGCGAGCUGGGGCUUACUGCACGCGGUGUGUUGCAGUCGGGCGCGUGAUGGAUUCCCCCGUACACCCCGGGCGGUGGCCAAUGGUCCCGCCGCCGGGACUGUCGAU
rnacentral:rRNA from 1 species